rnacentral:rRNA from 1 species
GGUUAAGCGACUAAGCGUACACGGUGGAUGCCCUGGCAGUCAGAGGCGAUGAAGGACGUGCUAAUCUGCGAUAAGCGCCGGUAAGGUGAUAUGAACCGUUAUAACCGGCGAUUUCCGAAUGGGGAAACCCAGUGUGAUUCGUCACACUAUCAUUAACUGAAUCCAUAGGUUAAUGAGGCGAACCGGGGGAACUGAAACAUCUAAGUACCCCGAGGAAAAGAAAUCAACCGAGAUUCCCCCAGUAGCGGCGAGCGAACGGGGAGGAGCCCAGAGCCUGAAUCAGCAUGUGUGUUAGUGGAAGCGUCUGGAAAGGCGCGCGAUACAGGGUGACAGCCCCGUACACAAAAGCGCAUGUGCUGUGAGCUCGAUGAGUAGGGCGGGACACGUGGUAUCCUGUCUGAAUAUGGGGGGACCAUCCUCCAAGGCUAAAUACUCCUGACUGACCGAUAGUGAACCAGUACCGUGAGGGAAAGGCGAAAAGAACCCCGGCGAGGGGAGUGAAAAAGAACCUGAAACCGUGUACGUACAAGCAGUGGGAGCCCCACCACUAAGCCAGUGGUGAACUCCACAUACGCAUCCUUUGCUGAGGAUACGGUUAACGGAGCGAAAGCGACGUUCAACCGCAAAAGAAGCAGAGGGGGCUUAGUGGUGGGGUGACUGCGUACCUUUUGUAUAAUGGGUCAGCGACUUAUAUUCUGUAGCAAGGUUAACCGAAUAGGGGAGCCGCAGGGAAACCGAGUCUUAAUUGGGCGUUAAGUUGCAGGGUAUAGACCCGAAACCCGGUGAUCUAGCCAUGGGCAGGUUGAAGGUUGGGUAACACUAACUGGAGGACCGAACCGACUAAUGUUGAAAAAUUAGCGGAUGACCUGUGGCUGGGGGUGAAAGGCCAAUCAAACCGGGAGAUAGCUGGUUCUCCCCGAAAGCUAUUUAGGUAGCGCCUCGUGAAUUCAUCUCCGGGGGUAGAGCACUGUUUCGGCUAGGGGGCCAUCCCGGCUUACCAACCCGAUGCAAACUGCGAAUACCGGAGAAUGUUAUCACGGGAGACACACGGCGGGUGCUAACGUCCGUCGUGAAGAGGGAAACAACCCAGACCGCCAGCUAAGGUCCCAAAGUCAUGGUUAAGUGGGAAACGAUGUGGGAAGGCCCAGACAGCCAGGAUGUUGGCUUAGAAGCAGCCAUCAUUUAAAGAAAGCGUAAUAGCUCACUGGUCGAGUCGGCCUGCGCGGAAGAUGUAACGGGGCUAAACCAUGCACCGAAGCUGCGGCAGCGACGCUGAUGCGUUGUUGGGUAGGGGAGCGUUCUGUAAGCCUGUGAAGGUGUGUCGUGAGGCAUGCUGGAGGUAUCAGAAGUGCGAAUGCUGACAUAAGUAACGAUAAAGCGGGUGAAAAGCCCGCUCGCCGGAAGACCAAGGGUUCCUGUCCAACGUUAAUCGGGGCAGGGUGAGUCGACCCCUAAGGCGAGGCCGAAAGGCGUAGUCGAUGGGAAACGGGUUAAUAUUCCCGUACUUGGUGUUACUGCGAAGGGGGGACGGAGAAGGCUAUGUUGGCCGGGCGACGGUUGUCCCGGUUUAAGCGUGUAGGUGUGUGUUCCAGGUAAAUCCGGUUCACUUUAACACUGAGGCGUGAUGACGAGGCACUACGGUGCUGAAGCAACAAAUGCCCUGCUUCCAGGAAAAGCCUCUAAGCAUCAGGUAACAUCAAAUCGUACCCCAAACCGACACAGGUGGUCAGGUAGAGAAUACCAAGGCGCUUGAGAGAACUCGGGUGAAGGAACUAGGCAAAAUGGUGCCGUAACUUCGGGAGAAGGCACGCUGACACGUAGGUGAAGUGAUUUACUCACGGAGCUGAAGUCAGUCGAAGAUACCAGCUGGCUGCAACUGUUUAUUAAAAACACAGCACUGUGCAAACACGAAAGUGGACGUAUACGGUGUGACGCCUGCCCGGUGCCGGAAGGUUAAUUGAUGGGGUCAGCGCAAGCGAAGCUCCUGAUCGAAGCCCCGGUAAACGGCGGCCGUAACUAUAACGGUCCUAAGGUAGCGAAAUUCCUUGUCGGGUAAGUUCCGACCUGCACGAAUGGCGUAAUGAUGGCCAGGCUGUCUCCACCCGAGACUCAGUGAAAUUGAACUCGCUGUGAAGAUGCAGUGUACCCGCGGCAAGACGGAAAGACCCCGUGAACCUUUACUAUAGCUUGACACUGAACAUUGAGCCUUGAUGUGUAGGAUAGGUGGGAGGCUUUGAAGUGUGGACGCCAGUCUGCAUGGAGCCGACCUUGAAAUACCACCCUUUAAUGUUUGAUGUUCUAACGUGGACCCGUAAUCCGGGUUGCGGACAGUGUCUGGUGGGUAGUUUGACUGGGGCGGUCUCCUCCUAAAGAGUAACGGAGGAGCACGAAGGUUGGCUAAUCCUGGUCGGACAUCAGGAGGUUAGUGCAAUGGCAUAAGCCAGCUUGACUGCGAGCGUGACGGCGCGAGCAGGUGCGAAAGCAGGUCAUAGUGAUCCGGUGGUUCUGAAUGGAAGGGCCAUCGCUCAACGGAUAAAAGGUACUCCGGGGAUAACAGGCUGAUACCGCCCAAGAGUUCAUAUCGACGGCGGUGUUUGGCACCUCGAUGUCGGCUCAUCACAUCCUGGGGCUGAAGUAGGUCCCAAGGGUAUGGCUGUUCGCCAUUUAAAGUGGUACGCGAGCUGGGUUUAGAACGUCGUGAGACAGUUCGGUCCCUAUCUGCCGUGGGCGCUGGAGAACUGAGGGGGGCUGCUCCUAGUACGAGAGGACCGGAGUGGACGCAUCACUGGUGUUCGGGUUGUCAUGCCAAUGGCACUGCCCGGUAGCUAAAUGCGGAAGAGAUAAGUGCUGAAAGCAUCUAAGCACGAAACUUGCCCCGAGAUGAGUUCUCCCUGAGACUUUAAGUCUCCUGAAGGAACGUUGAAGACGACGACGUUGAUAGGCCGGGUGUGUAAGCGCAGCGAUGCGUUGAGCUAACCGGUACUAAUGAACCGUGAGGCUUAACCUU